ensembl:snRNA U5 U5 spliceosomal RNA
AUACUCUGGUUUCUUUUCAGACCAUAUAAAUCUUUUGUGUUUUACUAAAUAUUUCUGUGGAGAGGAAAAAUUCUGAGUCUUAACGCAAUUUUUUGAGGCCUUGAAUCUCCAGGGCU